CGGGGACAUCCGGGCUCUGAGCCAGACUCUGUGCCGGGCGGGGGCCGGGAAGUGGUGGGAGAAGUCGCCGCCCGCGUCUGUCCAAACUUAGUCCCAAACUCAGGAGGUUCCUGUCCCAAGAAGCAAUGUAAAGUUUGAAACGAGCCGAGCGCGGUGGCUCACGCCUGUAAUCCCAGCACUUUGGGAGGCCGAGGCUGGCGAAUCAUUUGAGUAGAGACGGGGUUUCACCGUGUUAGCCGGGAUCCAUCUCCUGACUUCGUGAUCCGCCCGCUUCGGCCUCCCAAAGUGCUGAGAUUACAGACGUGAGCCACCGCGCCCUGCCUAUAUUAGGUUUUUAAAUAGCAGGAGGCAAAGCUUUUCGGUGUGAUCCUGACUUCACUUGGGGAAAAAGGGCAGGUAUCUGAGCCUGGGAAAAUGAUCAAGCUAUCAGCCAAAAUGGUAUAACGCCGACUAUAUAUGUACCUUUUUUUUUUCUUUUUUUCUUUUUUAGACACAGGGUCUCACUGUGUUGGCCAGGCUGGAGUGCGGCAGUCUGGAACUCCUGGGCCCAAGUGAUCCUCCAAUCAGCCUCACAAAGCACUGGAAUUACAGGUAGCUCAGAGAGCUGCGCUGGAGGAGAAAAGCCAGUCCUGGCAGGAGCUCUGGUACCUGGGAAGCUGGAUGGAGAGCCUGGGCCAGAAUCCCGGACCCCUCACCUCUGCGGCCUAGCUUUGUGACCUUGGCAAAUCCAUUCUAUGCACCUCCAUUUCCUGUACAGUGGGGAUCCUUAUUUCUCUGGCACAGAUUGGUAUUUGUUCUGUAAAGCCCAGUACCACUU
rnacentral:lncRNA from 1 species